rnacentral:rRNA from 1 species
GACGAACGCUGGCGGCGUGCCUAAUACAUGCAAGUUGAGCGCUGAAGGUUGGUACUUGUACCAACUGGAUGAGCAGCGAACGGGUGAGUAACGCGUGGGGAAUCUGCCUUUGAGCGGGGGACAACAUUUGGAAACGAAUGCUAAUACCGCAUAAAAACUUUAAACACAAGUUUUAAGUUUGAAAGAUGCAAUUGCCUCACUCAAAGAUGAUCCCGCGUUGUAUUAGCUAGUUGGUGAGGUAAAGGCUCACCAAGGCGAUGAUACAUAGCCGACCUGAGAGGGUGAUCGGCCACAUUGGGACUGAGACACGGCCCAAACUCCUACGGGAGGCAGCAGUAGGGAAUCUUCGGCAAUGGACGAAAGUCUGACCGAGCAACGCCGCGUGAGUGAAGAAGGUUGUCGGAUCGUAAAACUCUGUUGGUAGAGAAGAACGUUGGUGAGAGUGGAAAGCUCAUCAAGUGACGGUAACUACACAGAAAGGGACGGCUAACUACGUG